rnacentral:rRNA from 1 species
UACCAGACUCCUACGGGAGGCAGCAGUGAGGAAUAUUGGUCAAUGGGCGGGAGCCUGAACCAGCCAAGUCGCGUGAGGGAAGACGGUCCUACGGAUUGUAAACCUCUUUUGCCGGGGAGCAACGGGGUCCUUGCGAGGGCCCGAUGAGAGUACCCGGAGAAAAAGCAUCGGCUAACUCCGUGCCAGCAGCCGCGGUAAUACGGAGGAUGCGAGCGUUAUCCGGAUUUAUUGGGUUUAAAGGGUGCGUAGGCGGGCGGUUAAGUCAGCGGUAAAAGCCCGGGGCUCACCCCCGGCGAGCCGUUGAAACUGGCUGUCUUGAGAUGUCGAGAGGUAUGCGGAAUGCGCAGUGUAGCGGUGAAAUGCAUAGAUAUCGCGCAGAACUCCGAUUGCGAAGGCAGCAUGCCGGCUCCACACUGACGCUGAGGCACGAAAGCGUGGGUAUCGAACAGGAUUAGAUACCCCGGUACC